UCCGAAGUCGGAUAAUUGCAGGGUCCACUUGUUUGUUAUGAGACAGUUCGUAGACUUAAGAUUACCGUGAACGCGAAUCGAGCUCUGGUGGAGAACGUUUUAAACGCUGGACAUUUCAACUGGUGGCCUUCAGCAUCGAUACAUUUCUGAAGACGAGUCUCGAUUGGCUGCGUACUUCAUGACAAGGUCUCCGAUGAGGCUCGUGAACACACGUUUAAAUUUCAUCCCAAAGCGUUACGUGAUCUUUGACGAUAUAUGCUAUGAUUUUCUCCACGCGAAAAAGUCGAGCUCGCCCUGAUCUGCCCUCGUGCACAUCGUUACGAAUCUCGAACAUGUCUCGUAGUUGUGCAAUUGUCGAGCAGACCCAUGUAUCCAUAUUUACAGCACUUCUGAAUUAUAGCAGCAUUUGAUAGCAACAACAAUUUGACAGUAAUGCGUCUUCAAAGCUCAAUGUAUUUGAGCGUUGCUGACGCUUUUAUUUUACCACCAACAGAACAAGCCAGCUCAACUAAAACCCUUAGUUUGACAACAACAAAACAUACUUGUGUUUCAAAUUGGA